GAGUUUGAUCAUGGCUCAGGAUGAACGCUGGCGGCGUGCCUAAUACAGCAAGUCGAGCGCGAAGGGGGGAUUUUUUCGGAAAUGCCCCUGGAGAGCGGCGGACGGGUGAGUAACACGUAGGUGACCUAUCCUGGGGAGGGGGACAACCGUUGGAAACGGCGGCUAAUACCCCAUAAGCUCACGCGGGUUAGAGGCCGUGUGAGAAAAGGUUAAGGCGCCCCAGGCGGGGCCUGCGGUCCAUCAGCUAGUUGGGAGGGUAACGGCCUCCCAAGGCGAAGACGGGUAGGGGGCCUGAGAGGGUGACCCCCCACACGGGCACUGAGACACGGGCCCGACUCCUACGGGAGGCAGCAGUAAGGAAUAUUGCACAAUGGGCGCAAGCCUGAGGCAGCAACGCCGCGUGCCCGAGGAAGGCCUUCGGGUUGUAAAGGGCUUUUCUGGCUGAAGAGAGAGGACAGUAGGCCAGGAAUAAGUGUCGGCUAACUACGUGCCAGCAGCCGCGGUAAUAC
rnacentral:rRNA from 1 species